AUUAGGACACCUUGUGAUAGGUCGACCUUUGAUUGAUCAAAGGAGUGUGUCAUAGAGAGUUGUUCAUCUCCUAUUGCACCAAGGAGUGUGUUCAGCAGAGGAUGAACUGAGAAGAGACACAGAGGUCUAUAAGCAGGAGGUGGAUGACCUAGGAAGCUAGGUUUUUAUCAGGACUCUGAUAGGAGUGAGUAGGAUUAGAGAAACUAUAAAAGGGGUUGCAGAGAAGUGGGAAAGCAUCAAAAAUCGAAAAAGGGGUAGAGAAAUUGAGAGUUAGAGAACGUGAUUGUGAAGGAAGGAUUCAGAGAUUUGAAGGGUUCUUCAGAGAAGCAAAAUUAAUCGAAUUCAAGGUACAAAACCAGAAACCUAAAAGUCUACUUGCUGUCUGUUGUGUAAUUAUGUAGAAGAAAUAAAAAGAUGAGCUUGUUGGUUUUUACUCUCUUGUUUGAAUAAAGAACUAUUU